rnacentral:rRNA from 1 species
UACGUAGGGUGCAAGCGUUAAUCGGAAUUACUGGGCGUAAAGCGUGCGUAGGUGGUUUGUUAAGUCCGAUGUGAAAGCCCUGGGCUCAACCUGGGAAUGGCAUUGGAUACUGGCAGGCUAGAGUGCGGUAGAGGGCAGUGGAAUUCCCGGUGUAGCAGUGAAAUGCGUAGAGAUCGGGAGGAACAUCUGUGGCGAAGGCGACUGCCUGGACCAGCACUGACACUGAGGCACGAAAGCGUGGGGAGCAAACAGG